AGCGUUCGGCACGUGCUUGCCAAUUUCUAUCAGAACAAGGCUAUGACGUUAUCAAUGUCCAAGGUGGCAUGGAUGCUUUAGAAUAAGAAAACUCUCUUUGGAGCCGAAAUUAAGAAAAGGUCCCAAAGGGAAUUUUUU
rnacentral:sRNA from 17 species